AUACUUACCUGGCAGGGACAGCUUGUGAUCAAGAAGGCAGGCUGUUCGUCUUAGAACUUGAGCAUUGCACAGCGCCUCAGGGUCUUUGACGCGAACAUCCUUCGGGGUGUCUCGACUGUUAAAUUUUUGUUUGUGGGAGGUGAGCGCCAUGCGCCGCCUCCUG
rfam:Basidiobolus meristosporus CBS 931.73 K493scaffold_104, whole genome shotgun sequence.